GGAAACAUAGCCAAAUAAUUUGAUAUCAGAUGUAGAUGUAUGAUGAUAGAAAGCCUAAAUCACCAUCCUGGGAUUAGGACCCAUUGCGCCAUAUCAAAAAACAAAAACAAGUUUAAAUCGAAACUUGCGUUCAAAAAGCGGGUGUCCUGUACAUUAUUAUGUAAUACAAGUGAGCAUUUCGGUGAGAGGUGUUCAGGUAGGACCAAGGUCAGUAGAAGAUGGAGAAGACAGAGGUUCUUGGUACGUUGCUGCAAUUUCCACAUGUAGGCCAAAAAUUUAGCACAGAAAAUGACAGGAAGCUGCCGUGGUAUUGUAUAGAGAAGGAAGGCACUUGCCAAUAAGGAAGUGAGAGGCUUAUUGCAGCUGUCCAAAGGAACAAGUCAACAAGUAAGACGACUGGUGACUCCCAACCGCUGUUUACCGGGUGAUUGGAUGCGUCGCCGAUCACAGACAUCAGAUUCAUGUUGGACAUCGCCUGCGCCCAUGCCAAGAUUGUCUCGCUUGUUGAAGUUUGUCUUGUAGUUUAUUUGCAGAGUUGACAUUUGAUAUGAAAUGUAAUCUUUGCCUUGGAUAGUAAUAUUCUGCAUAAAAUUUGUAUAAAAUAAUUGUUGUACGCAGCAAGAAUUUUUAACGAAACUUCUGAUCAGAGAAAAAGAAAGAAAUGAAUGGCGUCGACCCUGCAUGUCGCUGGUUAUAUAAUAUAGAUUUGUUUCUAAAUCAUAGUACAGUAUUUUAUCCGCUCAUAUCGUUUCAAGGUAUUUUAUUUAUUAUGUAUAUUUAUUAUUGUGUCGGAAGGAAGUACCCAUCAAUUCUCAAACAAAAAUACGGCACUUUUUGGAGUUCACCUUUAACAAAAUAAUUUUAACUCAAAAAGUAUUUUGCUGAAA